rnacentral:rRNA from 1 species
UACGGGGGGAGCAAGCGUUGUUCGGAUUUACUGGGCGUAAAGGGCGCGUAGGCGGUCGUGACAAGUCACUUGUGAAAUCUCCGGGCUUAACUCGGAACGGUCAAGUGAUACUGUCGGACUAGAGUACAGAAGGGGCAACUGGAAUUCUCGGUGUAGCGGUGAAAUGCGUAGAGAUCGGGCGGAACACCAGCGGCGAAGGCGGCAUCCUGGCCCGUACCUGACGCUGAGGCGCGAGAGCGUGGGGAGCAAACCGG